rnacentral:rRNA from 1 species
UCUGCUUAAUUGCGAUAACGAACGAGACCUUAACCUGCUAAAUAGCCAGGCCCGCUUUGGCGGGUCGCCGGCUUCUUAGAGGGACUAUCGGCUCAAGCCGAUGGAAGUUUGAGGCAAUAACAGGUCUGUGAUGCCCUUAGAUGUUCUGGGCCGCACGCGCGCUACACUGACAGGGCCAACGAGUUCAUUUCCUUGGUCGAAAGGCCUGGGUAAUCUUGUUAAAC